rnacentral:rRNA from 1 species
UGACAUUAGAUACCCGGGUAGUCCCAGCCGUAAACAAUGUGCGUUAGGUGUGUCGGUAACCACGUGUUACUGAUGCGCCGAAGAGAAAUCGUGAAACGCACCACCUGGGAAGUACGGUCGCAAGGCUGAAACUUAAAGGAAUUGGCGGGGAGCACCACAACAGGUGGAGCCUGCGGUUUAAUUGGAUUCAACGCCGGACAUCUCACCGGAUAAGACAGCUGAAUGAUUGUCAAUCUGAAGGUUUUACAUGACUAGCUG